CAGGGUCUGCCAGUGCUGGUGAAGUCUUUUUUGUGAAGCACACAGAAAAUCUGCCAUCCCAAAUCCAUCUCCUUCCCACUGGCCGACAGCCUGAGGAGGAGCUGUUCACAGAUCUCCUUUUGGCAGCUGGCUGGGAAGGGAAUGCCAUGGCCAAGGAGGGAUUGCCAGGGAGGAUUACCAAGGUUCAAGCUGAAUUCCAAGGGAACAGGAGUUGUGUGUGCCACCUCUGCACCAGGGCCGUGUCUGGGGGAAACCAAGAACUGAGCAGAUCCUUUUUCUUAUUUCCACUCCUUUUCAGGGUGGUUUCUCCCAAACCAAGACAAGCCAUCAGAAUACGUUCCCGAGGAGUUGGGCCUAGCAAUAUGGCAGCGCACGUUCCAUAGGAAAUCCUGCAGAAUGCUGCUGCUGCUGAGCUCUGUUCCCAAGGAGGGCACAAUCCCUGCCCCGCUCCAGCCUUGAGCACUGCAGGCACUGAGUUUUCUCCACCCCAAAAUUCCAAGCCAAGGAUUUUCAAAGAUGCUGCAGCACGAGUUUUGGCUGCUGAAAACUUUGGGAAAAGCUGGAUGCUUUUAAGCCCUCGAGCAGCGUGGUGUUAACAUUCCCAAAAAGCACCAUGGGAAUCUCAGUGCUCUUGCCUUCGUGGUCAGCAAGCAGAAGUCUCCAAAGAUUUGCUCCGCACUCUGCAAACUUCAGGAGGUUCAAAAACGAUGGCUAUUUAUAAUAACCCUGUCAAACACAACUUGAUGUUAACGCUGUGAGCUGUAAAUGAAAAGACCCAUCCUGCUCCAAAACCCGAGGAAUCAUAAUUAAAAAGGAGAAUGGGCAUCAGAUGAGGGUGACAAAAGCCAUGUGGACACUGCAGCUUCUCCCAGGGACUCACAGCCCGCCAGGGAUGUGGUAAGUGUUGUCCUGAUGGUUCUGUGUUUUUACAGAAUAUUGAUUGUGUCGGUGAUUUGGUGUGGAAUUGGCCUGCAAAAGAGUGAGGCUCAAAUUAGAAGCUUUUGAUUGGCAAGGUCACCACUCUGGAAAUAUCCAAAUCAUGGCAACUUCACCCAGUUUUGCUUUCCACUCUGAAUUUUACCUUUCCUCCCAUCAUUUGAAUUCUUAAUUUCUGUUACUGAAUGUUUUUUACUCCCCUGAAGAUGUUUAAUUAAUUUGGAAGCCAUUCUCAAGUAUGCUGUCCUUACAGCUGAGCUGUAAGCAUUAUUUUAAAGAUAUUUCCUAAAUGAUCUCUGUCCAGUUUGCCCGGAGUGAAGUUAUUGACUGCUCUCAAAAAGCCCUCAAGGUUUUAUAUUUAAUGCUGAAGUCCCUAAAGCUUCC